rnacentral:rRNA from 1 species
GAUGAACGCUGGCGGCGUGCUUAACACAUGCAAGUCGAGCGAAGCGCUUUGGUUAGAUUCUUCGGAUGAAGACCUUUGUGACUGAGCGGCGGACGGGUGAGUAACGCGUGGGUAACCUGCCUCACACUGGGGGACAACAGUUAGAAAUGACUGCUAAUACCGCAUAAGCGCACGAUAUCGCAUGAUAUUGUGUGAAAAACUCCGGUGGUGUGAGAUGGACCCGCGUCUGAUUAGAUAGUUGGUGGGGUAACGGCCUACCAAGUCGACGAUCAGUAGCCGGACUGAGAGGUUGAACGGGCCACAUUGGGACUGAGACACGGGCCCAGACUCCUACGGGAGCAGCAGUGGGGGAUAUUGCACAAUGGGGGAAACCCUGAUGCAGCGACGCCGCGUGGAGGAAGAAGGUUUUCGGAUU